ensembl:lncRNA
GUGAAGGAUAGCAUCGUACUGAGAGUAGCUGCCAUUUUAUGUCGAUUGUGAAUGAACAUGGGCGUAACAUUUUUGGAGGCUCCGCUGAGAUAGCUGCUCAGAUGUCCAGUUUCCACACCCUGGUCGCUGAAUUCCGAGCCAGCUAAAUCUCCACAUAACAACUCAGGCAGGCAGCAGUGAGGAAAGUGUUGCUGUUCGAGGGAAGUUGGAAGUUAGUGGUUAAGUACGUGUCAACUGAGGCCAUUGAUCGACCAUCAGAGACACUUGUCAGACAAGAUCUCAGAAUGAAAGUGUGUCAUGUCACACAAGUACCCUUGUGACUUCUCCAUUGUUGCCAGAGUCUCCCUCAACUAUGAAAAGGACAUGUCAUCAUGAGGCCUAUCAUAGUGACCCAAAUUACUGCCCUGAUGACACAGAUGGCAUCAUCAACAAUAAUAGGACCUGAGCCCUAGGACCAUGCCCCAGGACUACCUGACAUGAUGACUCCUUGCUGUCCCCAGUCCACCUCCAGUUUCAACUGUUCUGCCUGUGAUUAUUAUUAUUUGACCAUGCUGGUCAUUUAUGAACAUUUGAAUAUCUUGGCCAUGUUCUGUUGUAAUCUCCACCCGGCACAGCCAGAAGAGGACUGGCCACCCCACAUAGCCUGGUUCCUCUCUAGGUUUCUUCCUAGGUUUUGGCCUUUCUAGGGAGUUUUUCCUAGCCACCGUGCUUCUACACCUGCAUUGCUUGCUGUUUGGGGUUUUAGGCUGGGUUUCUGUACAGCACUUUGAGAUAUCAGCUGAUGUACGAAGGGCUAUAUUAAUAAAUUUGAUUCGACAACAACACAGAGUUACACAUGGAGUAAAACAAACAUACAGUCAAUAAUACAGUAGAAAAAUAAGUCUAUAUACAAUGUGAGAAAAUUAGGUGAGAUAAGGGAGGUAAAGGCAACAAAAAAAGAACAAAAGAAAGAAGGCCGUAUAUACAUACAUAUAACUAUUAGAGUCAUUUUGGUUUUGAAGUGCAUUAUAGCAAAAAGCUUUGUCCAUUCUUUAGAACAAAAUGCAAUUCACCACUGUCUAUUAUAUUAUCCUGUCUCAGGCCCUCCCAGUCAACACUACCUCAUAAGAUUGCUUGCUGCAGUUGUUCAAGAGAUGUCAUGUUUACAGCCGAACAUGUAUCAUAGAGAAGACCAGCAAGGGGGCCCCUAUGGUGGAAAUGACAAGAUUGUUAUAAUGCUGUUAUUGCAUCAAAUGGUUGUUUUAUGCAACAGAAUAAGACGUUGUUAGAAUGCUCAUCUGUGUUUGUUCUACUGAGGAUGGGCCUCUGGAAAAUGUAAGAUGUCUUUGGGUGACACGGCAUUCCAGAGCAUGAGUUAAUGUUUCUGUACUGGGGUACCAGGGGGAGAUGGCUCCAGUAUGGAGUUGGGGGGCCAGACACGGGUCUCUACACAAUGAGAACUGUUUAACAGCAGAUACUAUCUGAUGUGAAUUCUAAGUAUCUUUCAUACAAAUCUUAACCUUGUGACUCAUUCCAUAGAUCUGUUCUGUGUGUCAUGUAGACUGAAGGAGGAUGGACUUUGCUAUAAAAUGCUGUGGCUCAAACCAGCUCCAUUACCAACCAGCUCCGUUACUGCAGUAAUGAAAUAAUAAAGUUUGAUUGUUUUGAAGAAAUCUAAAA